CCUACGGGCGGCAGCAGUCGAGAAUCAUUCACAAUGGGGGAAACCCUGAUGGUGCGACGCCGCGUGGGGGAAUGAAGGUCUUCGGAUUGUAAACCCCUGUCAUGUGGGCGCAAAUUAAAAAGAUAGUACCACAAGAGGAAGAGACGGCUAACUCUGUGCCAGCAGCCGCGGUAAUACAGAGGUCUCAAGCGUUGUUCGGAAUCACUGGGCGUAAAGCGUGCGUAGGCUGUUUCGUAAGUCGUGUGUGAAAGGCGCGGGCUCAACCCGCGGACGGCACAUGAUACUGCAAGACUAGAGUAAUGGAGGGGGAACCGGAAUUCUCGGUGUAGCAGUGAAAUGCGUAGAUAUCGAGAGGAACACUCGUGGCGAAGGCGGGUUACUGGACAUUAACUGACGCUGAGGCACGAAGGCCAGGGGAGCGAAAGGGAUUAGAUACCCGGGUAGUC
rnacentral:rRNA from 1 species